rnacentral:rRNA from 2 species
GUGAGUAACACGUGGGCAACCUACCCAUGAGAUCGGGAUAACUCCGGGAAACCGGAGCUAAUACCGAAUAACCCAGUGAACUGCAUGGUUCACUGGUAAAAGGCGGUUUCGGCCGUCACUCAUGGAUGGGCCCGCGGCGCAUUAGCUAGUUGGUAAGGUAACGGCUUACCAAGGCAACGAUGCGUAGCCGACCUGAGAGGGUGAUCGGCCACACUGGGACUGAGACACGGCCCAGACUCCUACGGGAGGCAGCAGUAGGGAAUCUUCCGCAAUGGACGAAAGUCUGACGGAGCAACGCCGCGUGAACGAUGAAGGUCUUCGGAUCGUAAAGUUCUGUUGUUAGGGAAGAACAAGUACCAGAGGAAAUGCUGGUACCUUGACGGUACCUAACCAGAAAGCCACGGCUAACUACGUGCCAGCAGCCGCGGUAAUACGUAGGUGGCAAGCGUUGUCCGGAAUUAUUGGGCGUAAAGCGCGCGCAGGCGGUUUCUUAAGUCUGAUGUGAAAGCCCACAGCUCAACUGUGGAGGGCCAUUGGAAACUGGGGAACUUGAGUACAGAAGAGGAGAGUGGAAUUCCACGUGUAGCGGUGAAAUGCGUAGAUAUGUGGAG